UAGUCAUAUGCUUGUCUCAGAGAUUAAGCCAUGCAUGUCUAAGUAUAAGCAAUCUUAUACAGCGAAACUGCGAAUGGCUCAUUAAAUCAGUUAUAGUCUACUUGAUCGUAUCUUCUUACAUGGAUAACCGUAGUAAAUCUAGAGCUAAUACAUGCUAAAAAUCCUGGACGCGGCAACGCGGAAGGGACGAGUUUAUUAGAUUAAAAACCGACACCUCUCCGCGAGGGGAGGUAGCACAGGUGAUUCACAGUAACCGAUCGGAUCGUCGGCCCCGCCGACGACGAUGCAUACGAGUUUCUGCCCUAUCAACUUUAGAUGGUAGAGUAUCGGUCUACCAUGGUCGUAACGGGUGACGGGGGAUUAGGGUUCGAUUCCGGAGAGGGAGCCUGAGAAACGGCUACCACUUCCAAGGAAGGCAGCAGACGCGCAAAUUACCCAAUCCCGACACGGGGAGGUAGUGACAAGAAAUACCAUUGUAAUGUCUCCUCGAGAGGCUUACGAUUGGAAUGAGUACAAUUUAAAUCCCUUAACGAGUAACGAUU
rnacentral:rRNA from 1 species